GUCUCCCUGGUCCCGCAGCCCCGUCCGUCCGGUCCCUCUGCUCCGCCGUGGCCACAAGGGGCCACCCGGGUGGACUCCAAACAAUAUGUUCUUGCCAAGUACCUGAUGGAGUUGUGCAUUGUGGACUAUGAUAUGGAUCACUUCCCUCCAUCCAGGAUUGCAGCAGCUGUUUUCUGUUUGCCUCUGAAACUCCUCAAUGGAUGCGAGUUGUUACCGUUUCUGCAACGCUACAUGUUUUUCCAGUGAGGGUGACCUUCUACCAAUUAUGCAGCAUAUGGCAAACAAUGUAGUCCUUGUAAAUAAGGAUGUUGCCACCAGAAG
rnacentral:lncRNA from 1 species